rnacentral:rRNA from 1 species
GACGAAUGCUGGCUGCGUGCUUAACACAUGCAAGUCGAACGGUGAACCAGGGCUUGCCCUGGGGAUCAGUGGCGAACGGGUGAGUAACACGUGGGCAACCUGCCCCUCACUCUGGGAUAACUCCGGGAAACCGGGGCUAAUACCGGAUACGACCUCAUGCGACAUCUCGUGAGGUGGAAAGAACUUCGGUGAGGGAUGGGCCCGCGGCCUAUCAGCUAGUUGGUGGGGUAACGGCCCACCAAGGCGACGACGGGUAGCCGGCCUGAGAGGGCGACCGGCCACACUGGGACUGAGACACGGCCCAGACUCCUACGGGAGGCAGCAGUGGGGAAUAUUGCGCAAUGGGCGAAAGCCUGACGCAGCGACGCAGCGUGAGGGAUGAAGGCCUUCGGGUUGUAAACCUCUUUCAGCGGGGACGAAGCGAAAGUGACGGUACCCGCAGAAGAAGCACCGGCUAACUACGUGCCAGCCGCCGCGGUAAAAC